ensembl:misc_RNA Metazoa_SRP Metazoan signal recognition particle RNA
GCUGAGUGUGGCAGUGCACACCUGUAAUCUCAGCUACUCGGGAGGCUGAGGCAGGAGGAUCACCUGAGCCCAGGAGUUCAAGGCUGCUGUGAGCCAUGAUCACACCACUGCACUUCUGCCUGGGCAACAGAGUAAGACCCUGUCUCUA